AAAUUAUGUAUUUUCAUGACCCUGUUCUGGCUCCCCGACCAGCCGCUCCCUCAAAAACCGUCCCGCGGCUGAAUGUAGUUGCUUACCUUACACCUUAUAGCCUGUGAUCCAGUGGAGGACUUUUAAAUUGGAGGAUGUGUUAACUGUAAUGGAUAGAAUGGAAUUAAGGGAACUGUGUAAAACACAUGGUUUCCAAUUGUUUAAUACCUUUACAAUCAACCCGGCCUCCGGUUUCUCCGCCGACCAGCCUCCCACUCCGACGUUCAGGGUUUGUAGCCCACGAGUCACCUCAUCCAUGUAGCACACAGAGUAACGGGUUCAGAGUCCACAUGAAGACUCUUCACAGACCAGUAACUGGUUCAGAGCCCACAUGAAGACUCUUCACAGACCAGUAACGGGUUCAGAGCCCACAUGAAGACUCUUCACAGACCAGUAACGGGUUCAGAGCCCACAUGAAGACUCUUCACAGACCAGUAACUGGUUCAGAGCCCACAUGAAGACUCUUCACAGACCAGUAACGGGUUCAGAGCCCACAUGAAGACUCUUCACAGACCAGUAACGGGUUCAGAGCCCACAUGAAGACUCUUCACAGACCAGUAACAGGGGUUUUCUAUCAUCAUAGUUGCAGCAGCUCCUGGUGAGCGUCAGUCCGACUCCAGGGAGCUGCCUGGCCCAGUAGGCGAUGCAAGGGCUCCGACACUGUCGUUUUAUCAGGUAGGAAGUUGUUUAAGUUGAGACGCAACAAAAGCCACUGACGCUGUCUCCUUAAUGGAGCCUUAUCCUGGGUCGGGCGCACGCCAUCCUUGUCAACGUAGAGCCCCAGGAACUCGACACCGGGUGACCGACUUCUCACUCUGCGGUCGCAGCCCUGCUUCCACUAAGCGCCUCAGCACUUUCCUCUGCUGAGAGUUAUGCUCUUCCAGUAUCCAGCUUGUAAUCGCCGUCAUCCAUCCAGAUACUGCUGGACCCCCUGUGAUGCCAGCUAGCAAGGUUCAUGUAGCUUUGAAAUAUGGACACUGCUGUGGACACUCCAAACUGGAGCCUUGUUGCCCUCAAAAGCCCCCUGUGUGUGUGUUGGUCAGGGCAUCUCUUGCGUCUCCAUCCAAAGCCAGCUGCUGAUUGGCUCGUGUUGUGUCCAACACUCCUGCGUCUCCAUCCAAUGCUAGCUGCUGAUUGGCUCAUGUUGUGUCCAACACUCCGACGUCUCCAUCCAAAGCUAGCUACUGGUAGGCUCGUCUCCAGCUAUAUGUCUCCUCUGUUUACAGUAAUGAAAGAUUUACAGUACUAAACCUACAGCAACCC